UUUCAAAAAGCAGUUUCAACAGAAAAUACUUAAAAUGAUACAUCUGUGCCAGAUUGUUACAAUAUUUUCUCUAAAGUGAAAAAAAGGUACAUGUAUAGUAUUACUAAUAAUAUAUUAACAAAAAAAAGUUGGUUUUUUUUUUAAAGAAUUAAAAGCUAAAUGAUUGUAAAAUAUUUCAUGGAGGAUUCAUGAUGGAAAUUUCUGGAAUAAUUAAAAUGGCCGAUAUUUAGGAACUUUUUACCAACUUCCUGUUUCUUGAUGCACUUUUUUUCUUAUAAGAAAAUUAAAAAUUUUAAGAUUUUUAAUGAUUUUACCCAUAACAACAUCUAUCUGAACCAUUGUAAAUUUAAGUAAAUAAAAAUAUAUUAAAUCACUUUCUGAAUUCGUUUUUCAAAUGUAUAGUAAAUAGCAGGGGCGUAGUAAUACACCCCAAUGUUUUCGAAGACUUUAUAAACUGUAAAGGACUAUUUGUCUCAUUAGUGCAGAUUCAGCCACAACCGUAUGACUAUGGUUGUUGUGCUUAAGCGUCAACUGUCUCUCACCCCAUCCCUUUCAAAGUAUAUAUUAAAAUAAUAUAUACAAUAUAUUUUCAAUGUAAUUCUACAUUGAAAGGAAAGCAUAAUGAUCAAAAUUUAUUUGAUUAUAUCUUUUCUUUAUCCUCAAAAAAAAAAAAAAAAAAGUGUGAGAGGGAGAAUUGACGCAUCUUGUGUCUGGGUAUAAUUUUUGAGGUAACAACUGGUACUUCAAAAAUUAUGCUGCAGACUGCCCCAUGCCCCCUGUUUAAAAAAUUCCUAUGUUUUUAUAUGCCAAAUAUAACGGAUGCCACCUAUUUGGAGUACCAGUUUAUCAGGAGUAAUAAAAUGGAAUCUUUUAUUGGUAAAUUUGUCAAUAUUCUAAUUUCAAAUAAUGGAAUUAAUUAUUGGCAUAUUUUCGUUUGAGAUUUCUAUUUCCUUUUUUAAGGAGUUGGGAACGCCUGAACAUUACCGUCCGGGCGACUAUAUCCUUUAAAAUGAAUACUAAUCAGAAAAUUCUUUUAUUUUAGCUUAAAAAAAAAAUUUUAAAAAAAUUACAAAAAAAAAAUACAACAAAACAAAUAU